rnacentral:rRNA from 1 species
AUUGAACGCUGGCGGCAUGCUUUACACAUGCAAGUCGAACGGCAGCGCGGUCUUCGUCCUGGCGGCGAGUGGCGAACGGGGGAGUAAUGCAUCUGAACGUGCCCAGUAGUGGGGGAUAGCCCGGCGAAAGCCGGAUUAAUACCGCAUACGACCUGAGGGUGAAAGCGGGGGACCGAAAGGCCUCGCGCUAUGGGAGCGGCCGAUGUCGGAUUAGCUAGUUGGUGGGGUAAGGGCUUACCAAGGCGACGAUCCGUAGCUGGUCUGAGAGGACGACAAGCCACACUGGGACUGAGACACGGCCCAGACUCCUAAGGGAGGCAGCAGUGGGGAAUUUUGGACAAUGGGGGCAAACCUGAUCCAGCCAUGCCGCGUGCGGGAAGAAGGCCUUCGGGUUGUAAACCGCUUUUGUUCGGGAAGAAAUCCUCUGGGCUAAUACCCCGGGGGGAUGACGGUACCGGAAGAAUAAGCACCGGCUAACUACGUG